GAAAAGAACUUUGAAGAGAGAGUUCAAAAGGGCGUGAAACCGCUUAGAAUAAAACGGACGGAGCCGUCUGAGGCCUUUCGGAAUCAGUCGAAUCGACGCGUGAACGCGGGUGCGACGCGAUACGGAACGAAAGUCCCGUCGCCCCGUGGGAUCGAGUAGCGCUCGUUCGAUGCAUUUCCGAAGGGUAAGCGCCGCGACCGACGCGAAAGGCUAGCGAAGCCGGGGGAUUGAGGGCGAGCGCGUUCGCGCGCCUCGUAACCAGUCCCCGGGUGAUCGAUCGUUAGACCUACGCGUCGAGAGAGAGUUCUAUCGAACGUCGGCGAUAAAUACGCGCUCGCCUAUAGCGACGGAGGUGCGACCGACCGAUCCCGGCCUGCUCGCAGGUCUAGAUCCGAGUCCGGUUCGUAUCGGAAGUCGUCGGCGACGCUACGACGUUCGGGCGUCCGCGGCGUCCGAGUCGGUCACCCGUCCGACCCGUCUUGAAACACGGACCAAGGAGUCUAACGUAAGCGCGAGCUAAUGGGCGGAAAACCCAUGAGCGCAAUAAAAGUAAAGGUCGUCUCGGACGACUCAGGUACGAUCCCGCGGGAGGAGUUAUCCCCGGGCGCAGUACCGUCCCGUCCCGACCGCUCGUCGGUAGGGCGGAGAUAGAGUGCAUACGUUGGGACCCGAAAGAUGGUGAACUAUGCCUGAGCAGAGCGAAGCCAGAGGAAACUCUGGUGGAGGUUCGUAGCGGUUCUGACGUGCAAAUCGAUCGUCAGACUUGGGUAUAGGGGCGAAAGACUAAUCGAACCAUCUAGUAG
rnacentral:rRNA from 1 species